GUAAAAAGCAUUUAGUAAACAAAAAGUAUUUUCAAUAUACAAUUAAGACUGAAAAGUAUUGAGGCCUCAUAAGCUGAACCUGACACAAUAAAUUUAAAAGGGAAACUAAUUUGGAAAUCAGAAAACCAUCUAAAGAAUUUGGGAAUUAGGCUUCUGCUGCCCUCUCUGCUACUGACGGUCAAGGCCUCCUCAUUGUAUUCUGUCCUCCAUAUCUCUGCUGAUUCCCAUUUUGUCUAUUUCCAUUUACCCCACUACUACUUGCUCAGGUCACUCUCCUUCAUUGUCGGUGUUUGUUCAAAUUCCUCAGACCCAUCCACUUCCCAUCUAAACUUCCCUCCCCUUUUCUCGCUCGUUGGCUCUACCUCCCUCCUCUGUUUUCUCCUCACUCUCCUGCCCCACCUCGACAUCCACAGCGAGGCAAUGAAGAAGCCCCUGCCAAGGAAGAGCCCGCUUCUCAGUGGGACACCGGGAAGGUAAACACCCAACAGUCACCGCUAGUGGGAGGCGAUUGUGCAGAAGCACGAGGGUUGUUACAGGAUCGGGCAGGUCCCCUACCCCAGUCUCGGACUCAGGGUCCUGUCUGAGGCGGCCACCCCGAAGCGUGGGGUUUGCGGAGACGUAGGGCCUGGCGGAGGGAAGGAUGGGGAAGCAUCUCAGGGAGGACUGGCGUCUGCCGAAUCCCAGGGCUGCCCUGAGGGGCCAAGAGGGGCGAGGGUGGGGACGAUGGAAGACAAGCCACAUGCCGAAUCGGGACCUGAGGCCGCGCGCGAUAGGAUGGGCGGACGGUGAAGAGAACUAGGGUGGAAGGGCCGGACAGGGGCGACCUCAGUGACGGAACCGGACACAGACGCAGAUCUGGCAGCUGGGCGACAGGCUUCGGAGCAUUUCCGGGCGUCGCGGGACUCCCCGCCGACAGGAGGGCGGUUGCCGAGCCUGUGACAUCCGCGGAGACCAGCAGACCCCGGGUGUGGAGGACGCCGCAGGAAGGGAACUGCGUGGCUGGGUUUGGCCACAAAAAGCGGAGGGCACUCACCCGAGCGGACCUCGGCUCCGGAGAAUCCGUUUCCGGGUCAACAAAAAACGUCGCGCGAGGGGCGGGGCCCGUACGUGCAGGGAGGGGAGGCAGAGAAAAAGGCGGGGCCGGGCCGGGGCGGGGUCUCGGGCAGGGGCGGGGAGCUUACCGACCUCCCGCCCCCGCUGCGCGCGUUUCUGGCCCUGCCAGUGUCUCCGCCGGUUGAAAGCGCGUGUCUGCGUCGGGUUCUGUUGGAGUGCGUUCGGUGUGCCGUGGGUCCGCGCUGCUUCCACCCAACUUCCUGUUAGAGUUUCUCUCCUGUCACAAUGGCAUGGUCUCGCCUCACU
rnacentral:lncRNA from 1 species